rnacentral:rRNA from 1 species
CCUACGGGUGGCAGCAGUGAGGAAUAUUGGUCAAUGGGCUUACGCCUGAACCAGCCAAGUCGCGUGAGGGAAGACUGCCCUAUGGUUUGUAACCCUCUUUUUUCGGGGCGCAAAAGCCGGCCGUAUCUGACUAUGAGAGUACCCGAAGAAAAAGCAUCGGCUACCUCCGUACCAGCAGCCGCGGUAAUACGGAGGAUGCGACCGUUAUCCGGAUGUAUUGGGGUUAAAGGGUGCGCAGGCGGAUUGUUACGUCAGCGGUAAAAUCGUGGGGCUCAACCCCAUCCAGCCGUUGAAACUUGGGAUCUAGAGUGUGCGAGAGGUAGGGGGAAUGCGUGGUGUAGCGGUGAAAUGCAUAGAUAGAAGGCAGAACACCGGUUGCGAAGGCAGCAUACCGGUGAACAACUGACGCUCAGGCACGAAAGCGUGGGUAGCGAACAGGAUUAGAUACCCGUGUAGUC